UACGUAGGGUGCAAGCGUUGUCCGGAAUUAUUGGGCGUAAAGAGCUCGUAGGCGGUUUGUUGCGUCGGCUGUGAAAUCCCGAGGCUCAACCUCGGGUCUGCAGUCGAUACGAGCAAACUACAGUGUUGCAGGGGAGACUGGAAUUCCUGAUGUAGCGGUGAAAUGCGCAGAUAUCAGGAGGAACACCGGUGGCGAAGGCGGGUCUCUGGGCAACAACUGACGCUGAGGAGCGAAAGCGUGGGGAGCGAACAGG
rnacentral:rRNA from 1 species